UACGGAAGGGGCGAGCGUUGUUCGGAAUCAUUGGGCGUAAAGGGCGCGUAGGUGGUUCUGUAUGUCUACCGUGAAAGCAUACAGCUCAACUGUAUUUUGUCGGUAGAAACUGCAGGACUUGAGGCUGGGAGGGGCUGGUGGAAUUCCCUGUGUAGCGGUGAAAUGCGUAGAGAUGGGGGAGAACACUCGUGGCGAAGGCGGCCAGCUAGACCAGUUCUGACACUGAGGCGCGACAGCGUGGGGAGCAAACAGG
rnacentral:rRNA from 1 species